rnacentral:rRNA from 1 species
AUGUUCACGGGAUAGCCCGUCGAAAGGCGGAUUAAUACCGUAUGAGGUCACACGAUGGCAUCAGAAUGUGACGAAAAGGUUUUGCGGACAUGGAUGGGGAUGCGUCCGAUUAGCUAGUUGGCGGGGUAACGGCCCACCAAGGCGACGAUCGGUAGGGGUUCUGAGAGGAAGGUCCCCCACAUUGGAACUGAGACACGGUCCAAACUCCUACGGGAGGCAGCAGUGAGGAAUAUUGGUCAAUGGGCGUGAGCCUGAACCAGCCAAGUAGCGUGCAGGAUGACGGCCCUAUGGGUUGUAAACUGCUUUUAUGCGGGGAUAAAGUCGGCCACGUGUGGCUGUUUGCAGGUACCGCAUGAAUAAGGACCGGCUAAUUCCGUGCCAGCAGCCGCGGUAAUACGGAAGGUCCGGGCGUUAUCCGGAUUUAUUGGGUUUAAAGGGAGCGUAGGCUGGAGAUUAAGCGUGUUGUGAAAUGCCGCGGCUCAACCGUGGCCCUGCAGCGCGAACUGGUUUUCUUGAGUGCGCUGAAAGCGGGCGGAAUUUGUGGUGUAGCGGUGAAAUGCUUAGAUAUCACGAGGAACCCCGAUUGCGAAGGCAGCUCGCUGUAGCGUAACUGACGCUGAAGCUCGAAAGUGCGGGUAUCGAACAGGAUUAGAUACCCUGGUAGUCCGCACGGUAAACGAUGGAUGCCCGCUGUUCCGGCGAAAGUUGGAGUGGCCAAGCGAAAGCGU